UUUCCAGCCAGGAAGCAACUCGCUUGCGAUCUCGUACGAGACAUUUUCUUAUCUUCACCGCAAGAACAUAGAAGAUCUUUAUGCUGCUCCCCACUACAAACAGAUGCUCAACACAGUCGACUGAUCCAGAUGUCCACGAGGGAGGAGAUGGUGGCUUUCACAGCGAAAACGCGUUAGCACCGAUUAAGAAAUUUUAUUAUGGUGAUGUUUACAUUGUAUUUUGUGUUAAGGAUCCGUGGCGCAAUGGCUAGCGCGUCUGACUCCAGAUCAGAAGGCUGUGUGUUCGAGUCACACCGGGUUCAUACAAAAAUUUCUUGUUCUUUUGUUCUGGAAGAAUUUAUCUUGGCCUUCAAAUUC